GCAGGCGCAGCUGCUGCGGCUCCUGAAAUCCUCUGGUGUGAACUUCUCUCCCAGGGCUGUUGGUGCAGCAUCCACUCUUCUGGCAGUGGGCGCCUGGACCUUAGUUACCCGGGGAGCGUGAGUCAUGUUGCCAUAGUUGAGCUGGCACAUAAAACUGCGAGUCACACCAGAAGAGGACAUUGGAUCCCACUAUAGAGGGUUGUGAGCCACCUUGUGGUUGCUGGGAAUUGAACUCAGAAACUCUGGAAGAGCGGUUGGUGCGCUUUACUGCUGAGUCAUCUCUCCAGUCCCAGAACAAGGAAUUGAAGCUUGGAGAAGAUUGAUGGGCCACUCAAGUUCCCUGGAUGGUCCAGGAUUCAGACUGUGGAUGGCCUAAUACAUCAGUUUUGCUGGCUCCCUGUGUUUGGCUAACCUUAGAGCCUCUUACCUUGCCAUAGUCUUUUCUAUGAAGGACAGAGAUCCAAGGAGUAGACCAACUUACCUGAG
rnacentral:lncRNA from 1 species